CUAAGUUUGAUGGCGACCGGCGCACGGGUGAGUAACACGUAUCCAACCUGCCGAUGACUCGGGGAUAGCCUUUCGAAAGAAAGAUUAAUACCCGAUGGCAUAGUUCUUCCGCAUGGUAGAACUAUUAAAGAAUUUCGGUCAUCGAUGGGGAUGCGUUCCAUUAGGUUGUUGGCGGGGUAACGGCCCACCAAGCCUUCGAUGGAUAGGGGUUCUGAGAGGAAGGUCCCCCACAUUGGAACUGAGACACGGUCCAGACUCCUACGGGAGGCAGCAUG
rnacentral:rRNA from 1 species